GAAAACCUUCAGGUCUUGACAUCCUCUGAAAACCCUAGAGAUAGGGCUUCUCCUUCGGGAGCAGAGUGACAGGUGGUGCAUGGUUGUCGUCAGCUCGUGUCGUGAGAUGUUGGGUUAAGUCCCGCAACGAGCGCAACCCUUGAUCUUAGUUGCCAUCAUUAAGUUGGGCACUCUAAGGUGACUGCCGGUGACAAACCGGAGGAAGGUGGGGAUGACGUCAAAUCAUCAUGCCCCUUAUGACCUGGGCUACACACGUGCUACAAUGGACGGUACAAAGAGCUGCAAGACCGCGAGGUGGAGCUAAUCUCAUAAAACCGUUCUCAGUUCGGAUUGUAGGCUGCAACUCGCCUACAUGAAGCUGGAUCGCUAGUAAUCGCGGGAUCAGCAUGCCGCGGUGAAUACGUUCCCGGGCCUUGUACACACCGCCCGUC
rnacentral:rRNA from 1 species